AAUCAACGCUGGCGGCGUGCCUCAGACAUGCAAGUCGAACGAUUAAAGCUCUCUUCGGAGAGUGCAUAGAGUGGCGCACGGGUGAGUAACACGUAAGUAAUCUACCUUCGAGUGGGGGAAUAACGUCCGGAAACGGACGCUAAUACCGCAUAAUGCAGCGGCAUCGUAAGAUGACAGUUGUUAAAGAUUUAUCGCUUGAAGAGGAGCUUGCGGCAGAUUAGCUAGUUGGUGAGGUAAAGGCUCACCAAGGCGACGAUCCUUAGCUGGUCUGAGAGGAUGAUCAGCCACACUGGGACUGAGACACGGCCCAGACUCCUACGGGAGGCAGCAGUGGGGAAUAUUGGACAAUGGGCGAAAGCCUGAUCCAGCAAUGCCGCGUGAGUGAUGAAGGCCUUAGGGUUGUAAAGCUCUUUACCCGGGAUGAUAAUGACAGUACCGGGAGAAUAAGCUCCGGCUAACUCCGUGCCAGCAGCCGCGGUAAU
rnacentral:rRNA from 1 species